AGUGAACGCUGGCGGCAGGCCUAACACAUGCAAGUCGAACGGCAGCAGAGUACUUGCUCGUUGAUACGGCGGCGGACGGGUGGGUAGGUCCUGAAAACCUGGGUGUUUAUGUUGUCGAACGGGCUAACGCGGGGGCUCAUACGCCAAUAGUGCAGACGGCCUACGGGUGAAAGCAUGGGACCUUCGGAUCUCGCGUGAUCGUAUGAGCGGAUGUCGGAUUAGCUAGUUGGUGGGGUAAAGGCCCACCAAGGCGACGAUCCGUAGCUGGUCUGAGAGGAUGAUCAGCCACACUGGAACUGAGACACGGUCCAGACUCCUACGGGAGGCAGCAGUGGGGAAUAUUGGACAAUGGGCGCAAGCCUGAUCCAGCCAUACCGCGUGUGUGAAGAAGGUCUUCGGAUUGUAAAGCCCUUUUGGUGGGGAAGAAAAGCAGCAAGUUAAUACCCCGCUGUUCUGACGGUACCAAAAGAAUAAGCACCGGCUAACUUCGUG
rnacentral:rRNA from 1 species